UACGAUGGGGGCGAGCGUUGUUCGGAAUUAUUGGGCGUAAAGGGUGCGUAGGCCGCACGGAAAGUCAGAGGUGAAAUCCCGGAGCUCAACUUCGGAAUUGCCUCCGAUACUCCCGUGCUUGAGGACUGGAGAGGAGUCUGGAAUUCACAGUGGAGCAGUGAAAUGCGUAGAUAUUGUGAGGAACACUAGUGGCGAAGGCGAGACUCUGGACAGUUCCUGACGCUGAGGCACGAAGGCCAGGGGAGCAAACGGG
rnacentral:rRNA from 1 species